rnacentral:misc_RNA from 1 species
UCCCCGUUGCCGGGGCAGUCUAUUUAGAAAAAUCCAACUAAAUACAAGGGUUGCGCUCGUUAAUGGACUUAACCAAACAUCUCACGACACGAGCUGACGACGGCCAUGCAACACCUGUCACUGCUUUCCCGAAGGCACAGUCUCCUUUCGGAGGCCUUAGCAGGAUGUCAAACCUGGGUAAGGUUCUUCGCUUACCAUCGAAUUAAAGAACACGCUCCACCGCUUGUGCGGGUCCCCGUCAAUUCCUUUAUGUUUUAGUCUUGCGACCGUACUCCACAGGCGGGAUGCUUAACGCGUUAGCUUCGCUACGCAGCGGGUCGAUACGCCACACAGCUAGCAUCCAUCGUUUACGGCAUGGACUAA